rnacentral:rRNA from 1 species
UACGGGGGGGGCAAGCGUUGUUCGGAAUUACUGGGCGUAAAGGGCGCGUAGGCGGUUCGCUAAGUUGGAUGUGAAAUCCCUGGGCUCAACCCAGGAACUGCGUCCGAUACUGGAAGGCUUGAAUCCGGGAGAGGGAUGCGGAAUUCCAGGUGUAGCGGUGAAAUGCGUAGAUAUCUGGAGGAACACCGGUGGCGAAGGCGGCAUCCUGGAUCGGUAUUGACGCUGAGGCGCGAAAGCCAGGGGAGCAAACGGG